rnacentral:rRNA from 1 species
AUGCUCUCGGCGAAUUCGGACUCGGUGAUAUGGCCGCACACUGCUUCUGGGCGUUUCUCAGUUAAAUCGCUUAUUGGAGGCACUCCUGCUAACCAUUUCUCUCAGAUCUGGAAGGCUCGGAUCCCUCCUAAAGUUAAGAUUUUCUUAUGGCAAGCUUUUAGGGGUCGGCUGCCUUCGGCUGACCAAAUUUGUAAGAGGAAUGGUCCAGGCUCACAGUUCUGUGCUUUGUGUGGUGACUUGGAGGAUACAGCUCAUAUCUUCUUCCAUUGUAUCUUGGCUAAGCUGAUAUGGAGUUGCGUUAUAGAGUGGCUUCAUGUAGUUUGGGACCCUGCUUCGUUCUCUGAGCUUAGGGCUCUGGCUAAUAAUCUGUCGGGCGUUACUAGACGUAUCUUUUGGGUGGGCCUGGGAGCAAUUUCUUGUAGUGGAAAUCAUUGA